GGGGGGGGGGGAGGGCUGGCAGAUGGCGCGCCCCACGGGCCAGCUAGUUGCUGCCACUGCUCCGGCCUUAGAGAGGCCGCAGUGCUUAGCUUCCUAGAGGGUGCACACCCAGCCUGAGAGCGGGGCUUUUGUCAGCUCCCCCGCCGGUGCCUAGCGCCUCCCGGCCCCUUCCCCCAGGGAAGGCCCUGGCCCGCUCUGGCUCCCUCUCCUAGCUCUGUGCUCCCCGCGGGCUGAAAGCGGUAACUCCUUUCUGGCUCAACAGAGCAGUGGGUGACAGCUGGUUUCUGAGCACGGAUCCCACUCAAGUGCGGUCGCUGCUACGCAGACCCUCCCUCGGCUGGGUUUCCAGAAAGGAGCCCCAGGCAGCGCAAGUUUACCUUUUCAGUAAGUCUCCGUUCAAGAUGAGGGCAAUUGGACACCACGGCUUUAAAGGUGGUUGGAGGGCUGGACGGGCAUCAGACCGAAGGGCAGGCGGUACCUGGGCACCCAGAGAGAGAGGAGAGAGGUCAGCGGCUUCCCAAUCCCGAGACGGUGCACGGCCUGAAGGCUGCCGUACCCGGAACGGCACUGUCACUGCUGUGCGGCUGUUAGGAUUUGGCUUAAUUAAACCCGACUCUAGCAAUA